UUUAGUCAUAUAAAAAAAGAAGUUGCAUAACAAAUCACAGGCAUGGUGUAAAUUUCAGUCACUAGUUAAGGUAACAAUCAUCAUGCUGCAGCAACAGUUUCAGCGGGCUUUUCUUCCGCGGGCUUUGGUUCGGGGUCAGUUGGUGUUUCUGCAGGCUUUUCUUCUACAGGCUUUGCUUCGGGUUCAGCUGGUGCUGGUGCUGCUUCUUCCCAGAAAGAAGUCUUCUUUCCAGUCUUUGAAACAGUCUGGAAAACAGCUUCGGGUUCCACAUUUCCUUUCACGGUCACUUUUUGCUCCUUUAUAUCGAUAUCAAAUGAU
rnacentral:lncRNA from 1 species